UACGUAGGGUGCGAGCGUUGUCCGGAAUUAUUGGGCGUAAAGAGCUCGUAGGCGGUCUGUCGCGUCUGCUGUGAAAACUCAGGGCUUAACCCUGAGCUUGCAGUGGGUACGGGCAGACUAGAGUGCGGUAGGGGAGACUGGAAUUCCUGGUGUAGCGGUGAAAUGCGCAGAUAUCGGGAGGAACACCGGUGGCGAAGGCGGUUCUCUGGGCCUUACCUGACGCUGAGGAGCGAAAGCGUGGGGAGCGAACAGG
rnacentral:rRNA from 1 species